rnacentral:misc_RNA from 1 species
UUUCCGUAGGUGAACCUGCGGAAGGAUCAUUACAGUAGUCACCCAGGUUGCCGCAAGGCCUCCCGGGUAACCUACCACCCUUUGUUUAUUACACUUUGUUGCUUUGGCAAGCCUGCCCUCGGGCUGCUGGCUCCGGCCGGCGAGCGCUUGCCAGAGGACCUAAACUCUGUUUGUCUAUACUGUCUGAGUACUAUAUAAUAGUUAAAACUUUCAACAACGGAUCUCUUGGUUCUG